rnacentral:rRNA from 1 species
GUGUCAGCCGCCGCGGUAAGACGAACCGUCCAAACGUUAUUCGGAAUCACUGGGCUUAAAGGGUACGUAGGCGGCUUGGAAAGUUGGGUGUGAAAUCCCUCGGCUCAACCGAGGAACUGCCCUCAAAACUGCCAGGCUUGAGGGAGAUAGAGGUAAGCGGAACUCAGGGUGGAGCGGUGGAAUGCGUUGAUAUCCUGGGGAACACCAGUUGCGAAGGCGGCUUACUGGGUCUCUUCUGACGCUGAGGUACGAAAGCUAGGGGAGCGAACGGGAUUAGAUACCCCGGUAGUCCUAGCUGUAAACGUUGAGCACUAGAUCGGAGGACUUCGGUUUUCCGGUCGCAGCGAAAGUAUUAAGUGCUCCGCCUGGGGAGUAUGGUCGCAAGGCUGAAACUUAAAUAAAUUGGCGC